AGAGUUUGAUCCUGGCUCAGGAUUAACGCUGGCGGCGUGCCUAAUACAUGCAAGUCGAACGGAAGUACCUUCGGGUACUUUAGUGGCGAACGGGUGAGUAAUACAUAGGUAACCUACCCUUAAGACGAGGAUAGCCAUUGGAAACGAUGGAUAAAACUGGAUAGGAUAUAGAGGAAGAAUCUUUUAUAUUUAAAAGAGAGAUCUGCUUAAGGAGGGGCCUGUGGCGCAUUAGCUAGUUGGUGGGGUAAGGGCCUACCAAGGCGAUGAUGCGUAGCCGGACUGAGAGGUUGAACGGCCACAAUGGAACUGAGAACGGUCCAUACUCCUACGGGAGGCAGCAGGUAGGGUAAUUUUCGGCAAUGGGGGGAACCCUGACCGAGCAACGCCGCGUGAACGAAGAAGUUAUUCGUAAUGUAAAGUUCUUUUAUCAGGGAAGAAAGAGGAAUUUGACGGUACCUGAGGAAUAAGCUCCGGCUAACUACGUG
rnacentral:rRNA from 1 species